GCUUGAUCCCGCCUGGUGGUGGUCGCAGGUUCUCAUACCUGCGGAGGCCGAGUGGCCCGGUGGUUCGAUUCCACCUCG
rnacentral:tRNA from 16 species